rnacentral:misc_RNA from 1 species
CCGAGUUUACAACUCCCAAACCCCUGUGAACAUACCUACUUGUUGCCUCGGCGGAUCAGCCCGCUCCCGCGUAAAGACGGGACGGCCCGCCCGAGGACCCCCUAAACUCUGUUCCUUAUAUGUAACUUCUGAGUAAAACACAUAAAUAAAUCA